rnacentral:rRNA from 1 species
GAAAUCUGGCGCAAGCUCGAGUUGUAAUUUGAAGAAGGUAAUUUUUGGGGAGAUGUUGACAAAAGUUCCUUGGAACAGGACGUCAUAGAGGGUGAGAAUCCCGUUUUGUUGACCUCUCUCUCCUUGUAAAAUGCUUUCGAAGAGUCGAGUUGUUUGGGAAUGCAGCUCUAAGUGGGUGGUAAAUUCCAUCUAAAGCUAAAUAUUGGCGAGAGACCGAUAGCGAACAAGUACAGUGAUGGAAAGAUGAAAAGAACUUUGAAAAGAGAGUGAAAAAGUACGUGAAAUUGUUGAAAGGGAAGGGUUUUAAGGGAGACAUGGGAGGUAACGAACAAUCUUCCUUCGGGGAGGUGCACUCGUUGCUUUCUGGGCCAAUAUGGGUUUGAAGAGUGGGAUAAAAGGAUAGGAAUGUGGCCACUUGUUGGUGUUAUAGACUAUCCCAAUACCACUAUUUCAGACCAAGGAAUGCGAUUCUAGGAUAUUGGCGUAAUCCCUUUAAACCACCC